CGGCGCGUGGGCUCGCAGCUAAUUAAUUAGGCAAAGCUGCUAAUUAGCUCCUUGGCUGGGCAAGGAUGGGAGAUACUCCACAGAUCUCCAAAAUCUGCUCUCGUCCCCAUCUCGGAUUUUUGGGGUUUGACAAGGAGCUGGUGGGGUCCAACGGGGAAUUUUGGGGUUCAGGGAGGAUUUUGGGGGUUCAAUGAGGAUUUUGGGGGUUCAAUGAGAAUUUUGGGGGUUCAGUGAGGAAUUUUGGGGGUUCAAUGAGGAUUUUGGGGGUUCAGGAAGGAAUUUUGGGGUUCAGGAAGGAAUUUGGGGGUUCAGUGAGGAUUUUGGGGGUUCAGAGGGGAUUGAGAAGGAAUUUUGGGGUUCAAGAAGGAAUUUUGGGGUUCAGUGAGGAAUUUUGGGGGUUCAAUGAGAAUUUUGGGAGUUUAAUGAGAAUUUUGUAGUUCAGGAAGGAAUUUUGGGGUUCAAGAAGGAAUUUAGAGGGUUCAAUGAGAAUUUUGGGGUUCAAUGAGAAUUUUGGGGUUCAAGGAGGAUUUUUGGAGCUCAAGAGGAACUUGGUGGGAUUCAGUUUGGGGUUCAGUGAGGAUUUGGGGUUCAAGAAGGAAUUUUGGGGUUCAAGAAGGAAUUUGGGGGUUCAAGAAGGAAUUUUGGGGGUUCAAUGAGGAUUUUGGGGUUCAAUGAGGAUUUUUGGAGAUCAACAGGAACUUUAUGGGAUUCAGUUUGGGGUUCGAUGAGGAUUUUGAGGGUUCAAUGAGGAUUUGGGGGUUCAGUGAGGAUUUUGGGGGUUCAGUGAGGAUUUUGGGGGUUCAAUGAGGAUUUUGGGGGUUCAAUGAGGAUUUUGGGGGUUCAAUGAGGAUUUUGGGGGUUCAAUGAGGAUUUUGAGGGUUCAAUGAGGAUUUUGGAGGUUCAGUGAGGAUUUUGGGGGUUCAAUGAUCAUUUUGGGGUUUCACUGAUUAUUUGGUGGCUCAAGAAGCAAUUUUGGACUUCCUCGAGAACUUCUGGCGUUCCACAACGACCUGAAGCCGUCCCACCAAGGGCAGAGACGAGUGAAAAACCCUUCGGGGAUAAAACCUCGUCCACUGUCCCCAUCCCAGGCGAUUCCGGAGGGAAAUUCCGGCUACCUGUAGUGCAGGAGUUGUCCUUCCGUGCCGUAAUCCCGGAAAACGUCGAAUUCCUUCUCCAACGCUCCGGAAGGCGGCGAGCUGAAAAACAGGAACGGCGGGUCAGGAGUUACCGGCGGAGACGUCGAGGUCUCCUCUAGGAUCCAUGGAGAUGGAUUCCCACCAGGAUGGGAUUUUUUAAAAAUUUUUUAAAAUUUAUUUAUUUAUUAUUUUUUGAAUUUUUGGAGUUGUCGGCCCGAUGACGACCAAGCCGCCCACGGCCAACCCUUCGAAGAACCAAAUUGUCCCUUAAAAAAAAAAUCCGAGAAGAUGCCAAAAAUCUCCCGGCUCCAUCCCGGCCUUUCGACAACCUCGGAUAUCCAGAGUUGACGUGGGAAGAGGAAAAUCCCAAAAAAAACCCAAUUUUGGUCACAUUUUUAUCAAAAUCUGAACCUGGAGAGCUUUUGUUCCCAGGAGAUGGAGAAGGUCACACCACCAACCCACUCCAAGAGAUGCCACGCUUGGAAAAACAUGAGGAGAAAAAUAAAAAUAAUCAAAAAUCC
rnacentral:lncRNA from 1 species